UUCGAAUCAACCAUCGGGGCGUGGUUGCUAUUGCGACUAGGAUUACACAGAGGUUGAAACGUUAAAAAGACCGUGUUUUACUUAUAUCUUACCUUUCUGUUAUCGAUAGGGGAAAUAACCACUUGGACAUGUUCGUCUUAUUACGAAGUGUAUAGUUUAAGUGAACUAAUUGUGAUAUUAUUAUUAACUAUUUUUCUCAAAUUGUGUCAUUUAUGGGGAUUCCCCUCAUGGGGUUGAACUUGUUUAUUGAGAAGUAUAAAUGACUGAUGCAUCGUUCAAAAUGCAUGGCGGAUUGCAGACUGAUUGAUGUUCAGGACGACAUCUGAAAACUCUUGAUACAGCUAGCUGCUUGGCGGUCCACAUGUCAUAU